rnacentral:rRNA from 1 species
AAGAUGGCGACCGGCGCACGGGUGAGUAACACGUAUCCAACCUGCCGAUAACUCCGGAAUAGCCUUUCGAAAGAAAGAUUAAUACCGGAUAGCAUACGAAUAUCGCAUGAUAUUUUUAUUAAAGAAUUUCGGUUAUCGAUGGGGAUGCGUUCCAUUAGUUUGUUGGCGGGGUAACGGCCCACCAAGACUACGAUGGAUAGGGGUUCUGAGAGGAAGGUCCCCCACAUUGGAACUGAGACACGGUCCAAACUCCUACGGGAGGCAAGCAUG